AGUGAACGCUGGCGGUAGGCCUAACACAUGCAAGUCGAACGGCAGCACAGUAAGAGCUUGCUCUUGCGGGUGGCGAGUGGCGGACGGGUGAGGAAUACAUCGGAAUCUACUUUUUCGUGGGGGAUAACGUAGGGAAACUUACGCUAAUACCGCAUACGACCUACGGGUGAAAGCAGGGGAUCUUCGGACCUUGCGCGAUUGAAUGAGCCGAUGUCGGAUUAGCUAGUGGCGGGGUAAAGGCCCACCAAGGCGACGAUCCGUAGCUGGUCUGAGAGGAUGAUCAGCCACACUGGAACUGAGACACGGUCCAGACUCCUACGGGAGGCAGCAGUGGGGAAUAUUGGACAAUGGGCGCAAGCCUGAUCCAGCCAUACCGCGUGGGUGAAGAAGGCCUUCGGGUUGUAAAGCCCUUUUGUUGGGAAAGAAAAGCAGCAGGUUAAUACCCCGCUGUUCUGACGGUACCCAAAGAAUAAGCACCGGCUAACUUCGUG
rnacentral:rRNA from 1 species